AUGCCACCACCGCUCUUCGAGGCCAGCACCACCUCCCAGCCAGGUCCUUUCAGGGGGACGAGAGGUGCGGAAUUAGCAGCCGCUGCAGGGCCGGUGAGGUCGCUGCGGUCCAUCACCUUCAGAAGGUCCUUGUCGCUGAUAUCUGUCUGGAUCAUCCUGUCUUCCUCGCCCUGCUCGUCCCUCAGCAGCGCUAGCAGCUCAGCCUCCUGCAAUUCUCAACAUUGA
rnacentral:rRNA from 1 species